GGCCAAACUGAGCCGGACCAGAUUGAAGAAGAAGCAGGCAGGGGGCUGGGUUAGUGACUGAAGUCUGAAUCUAUAUCUGAGUAGGGAGUCUGUUCCUCUAGCCUGGGGCUGGGACAGGGGUCGGGGGGUCUGUUUCUCUGAGCCUGGGACCAGAGCAAGGGCAAGGGCUCUGUUCUGAGCCUGAUUUGGGAAUGGGGCCAAGACUGCAGCCAGGGCUGGUCCAGGACUAGCUGAGUCCCGGACUCGGUCUAGUUCUGGAGCCGAGGCUGGCGUGGCUGGCUGCCCGCAGCGGUACCGUCCUGCAGCGGUACCGGUAGUGUAGUGUAGUGUAGUGUAGUGUAGUGUAGUGUAGUGCAGUAAGCGGGCCAAGAUGGCUCUACCAGAACCUGUGGAGUCCAGGGAGCCCAAGGUACCCAGGGUCACGAGGAGAAGGGAGAAACGGGGAGGAGGCGCCCUGGACUCGGCCGCCUUGGACUGACCAGUGCUGUAGGUGCUGGGGGAGGGGAAGGAGAGAAAGGGCUGCAGGCGGGCGUCGUUGUGCCAGGGCAGGAAGGGGCGGAGUUGGGCUCGGGGGGAGUACCGCUCCCAGACUCGGAUGAAACUAGUUGCCCGUAGCCAGGGUGGCAUCAGAGGAAGGAGGCAGACUCUGAACUGCGCUGGGGCUAAGUCGUGCGCAGAAAGACUGACUCGGUCCGACCAGGCUGUCCUGCAGGCUGAGAAUGCCAAGAACCAUGUGGGUCUUCCUCCCUGUCCUGCUGAGCACCCUGCUUUGUGUACAGCCAGCUCACAGUCUCCGUUGCUAUAACUGUACAGCGGCAACGAAAUCCAGUCAAUGCAACUCUGUUGAGUGCUCCGUGUCAGAAACUCGCUGUGGGAGUAUUAAAGUUGCAGAUAAAGAUGGACCAGGGAACAAAAUGCUGUAUUUCAAGGGUUGUACUAAUACUUCCUGUGGAGAGUUUUUCAUGAAAUUAUGGGGCAAGGCCAAUAAAGAGAUCCCCCCAUCUCUUAUAGAAGUGGAUUAUAGCUGCUGUUCGAAGGAACUGUGUAACGGGGUAGAUGGGAUCAGAGGCAGCCCCUUGGCCCUGAUAGGGAUCCUCCUGCUCAGCCUCGGACCUGCCUUCUGGGCCAUGCUGUGA
rnacentral:lncRNA from 1 species